AUACGGAAGGUCCGGGCGUUAUCCGGAUUUAUUGGGUUUAAAGGGAGCGCAGGCGGAGAUGCAAGCGUGACGUCAAGUUUCGGGGCUCAACCCCGUCUCGCGUCGCGAACUGCGUCCCUUGGUUGCGGGAAGGGGAGGCGGAACUCGUGGUGUAGCGGUGAAAUGCAUAGAUAUCACGAAGAACUCCGAUCGCGAAGGCAGCCUUCCGGCCCGUCAACGACGCUCAUGCUCGAAGGUGCGGGUAUCAAACAGGAUUAGAUACCCUGGUAGUCCGCACAGUAAACGAUGGACACCCGCGGUUUGGCCUGUAUGGCUGAGCCGCCAAGCGAAAGCGUUAAGUGUCCCACCUGGGGAGUACGCCGGCAACGGUGAAACUCAAAGGAAUUGACGGGG
rnacentral:rRNA from 1 species